GACGAACGCUGGCGGCGUGCUUAACACAUGCAAGUCGAGCGGUAAGGCCCUUUCGGGGUACACGGCGGCGAACGGUGAGUAACACGUGGGUGACCUGCCCUCAGCUCUGGGAUAAGCCUGGGAAACCGGGUCUAAUACCGGAUAUGACUCCAUGACGCAUGUUGUGGGGUGGAAAGCCUUGUGCGGCUGGGGAUGGGCCCGCGGCCUAUCAGCUUGUUGGUGGGGUGAUGGCCUACCAAGGCGA
rnacentral:rRNA from 1 species